CUGUGGAUGUACUAUACCCUCCUUCUAUAUCUGGACUACCACCAACACAGACUGUCACAGAGUUCUCUAACCUCAGGAUAGACUGUAGCACCUACACCACACCUGGCAACCCUCCAACAACAAGCUACA